GGAACACCAAUAGCAGCCUUGGAGCCUCUGGGCCGGAGGAACGGGGGCCUCCACCGACACCUGCUUGAGAAGAGGAGCCAAAACAUCAUAGUUGAACCGUCCUGGAAUAGAAACUCGCCCUGAAUUCUUUCUUGUGUGAAAUCCAAGAGCCCUCUCUUGGGGUUGGAUCAGGACCCUGUUCCUGUAAGAAGUCCACAAUGCCAGAGAAUUAAAGAGAACCACAAAGUUUCUGCCAUUUCAGUUCCUGUUAUCGUGCUUUGAGGUGCACUGAACUGCAGCAAACCCAGAGGAUCCAAGGCUACGCUGAAAAGCCUCUGACCACAGUGCAGGGAGCAGAAGACAUUAAUGACAUGAUGUCGACACAACCCGCACUCAGGAUCCUCCAGGAAAAGAACACAGAGAUAACCCCGGAUCGAUGGUACUUUUUGAAAAUGCUUUACUGCAAAAGAGUGGCUAGGGUUUUACAAGGGCUAUGAAGAAACAUAUUAAGGUUAAUAAAGCUUUUUAUUGAGUGUUUA
rnacentral:antisense_RNA from 1 species